AGAAACCCCAAUAUUAGCCGAACCCCAUAACACAUUCCAAAUAACCCAGCAGCAAUGCAAUACAGUACAAUAAACCGACCCCGUGCAUUCUUCCUCUUUUUCCUCGCGCAGUUUAGCGAAAAAACGCGAAACCCAAAAACUCAUCCAACCUAGCGAACUAAAAUCGCGACCUGAGCCCACUCUCGCCGUCGUCCUCUUCUCUCCGUAUGAAGACCAUUUUGAAAAAUCAUCCUUUAUCAUUCAGGUGGAGCAAUCUUUACGCCUUGCUAGUCCUUGCCUUGCCUAGAGUCAACGGUUGUACUCUUCGUCCCUUUGAGAAAUUGUACAAAUGUGUACAAGAGUAGAGCUAGAAUCCUUAUCCAAGAGGGAAUUCGAAUUUCAAAUUCACCCCUUUGCUUACCUGAUUUCCACCCAUUCGGCCCCGUCUCCUCAUCUAUAUAAACACCCUCUUCCUCAGAAAGUUAAGGGUUGGGAAAAAACAGAUAUUUUUUUAGUUGGGAAGUAGAGUUUGAGAAAUAUAUCCUUAGGCAAGAACUUAUUGAGAAAAAGAAUCACUAAACUACAACAUCCAUAUAAGAAAUAAAUCUUAAUAUAUACUUUCCUUCUCUAUUUGUGAGUCGAUGGGAAGUUUCCGGAUUUUUGAAGUCUGAAGUUGUGUUUUGAAGUCAUUGAUCCUCUGCUCGUCUUGUCCAUUUUUCUGCACCGGAAAAGGAUGAAUCCAGCACACGAGUCUCUGAAAACUCGAAUGGUGACCGUACAUGAUCCUUACCUCAAAGUGUAGUGGACAUUCAUGAAUUAUACAGACAAAAUAAAAUUUCAUAUGCUCAUAAGCUACCUCCCGUCACUAUUGGAAAUGAAGGCUUGGCCCGGUUUAAUUAGAACCAAGGUAAAGUCUUAGGAUAGUGAAAAUAUGGUAUUUCGGUUCAGGGAAGUUGAAAUGACACAAACUAUUGAAGAAGUCUUCACAAGCUAUGAGAGUAUCGACAUGUGCAACAAGAGGAAGCGACAACCAGAUACAAAUUUUCUAAACUCCAAAAUAUGGAUUUCUUCGAAAUCAAAGAAAAAUUGUCACUCGUCAAAGUUGAGUGGAUGGACAAGCUUCUCAGACCAAACAUUCCAUUUAUAAAGCUCUAUUAUCGAUUUGGACGUGCAAGAGCUUACGAGAAAUUUAAAGAAAAGUUCAUCUUAAAAGAAAAAGGGAAGGAGCACGCCCUCUCGCCUUUGCGAUAUGCUUACUUGGAACAAUGUUGUUUCCUCAAAGACCUAACUACACUAUUCAUCCAAUUAUAGUAAUGAUCACUCAUGUCAUCUUCAACAAAGUGAACUACAAGUCAUCAACUAAGUACUACACUUUUGCGCCUAUGAUCUUGGCCGACAUUUACAAGGCUCUAGAUAAGUGAUAAUAUGAGUCCAAAAAUAUAUAUUUUAAUCAUUAUUUGCCUCACAUUUAUUAUUUAUAUUUAUCCUUUUUGAGCAUGAAAUUUAUGAAUUGUGCUAAAUAGUGUAUUUUAUUUGUAGGAAUAAAUUACCAUAAAGUGGAAGAAGUUUUGAGCUAAAAUUAAUUAAAUAUAAAAGAUUGGAGAAGGAAAUCAAGUAGACAACUUAAUGGAUUAAAUUCAACAUUAUAAUUUAUAAAUGUAUUAAGUGUAGCUGCAGAAAACAACUAAAAUCCAAGAAUCCUUACAGCCACGUGGCAGCAGUUGAAUGCAACAGAAGUGGCAUAUUUUUGAGGUGGCGACCCAACGUAGCGUUUGGAAGUGGAAUUUCGUUUGGUUUCGAAUUCCCAAUUUGUUUUGGAUUUAGUUUUUUUAUUUAGGGUUUUCUACAUCUAUAAAUAGUUCAUAGAAAUAAUUUUUGAGAGGUAUCAAUCUAGAGAGGAGGUACUUUGGAAGAGAAAGUCGUCAAUACUUUUAGGGUUCUUUUCUACUUCUUGUUUUCUUAGAGAUUAGUAGCUAAAGUCCUUGUUUUGGGGUUGUAGCUACGGAUUGAAUGUUGAUAAUUAAUGGUGUUUUGAAUUAA